rnacentral:rRNA from 1 species
CCUACGGGGGGCAGCAGUGAGGAAUAUUGGUCAAUGGCCGGAAGGCUGAACCAGCCAUGCCGCGUGAAGGUCAGUGCCCUAUGGGCGUUAAACUUCUUUUGUGCGGGAGCAAUAAUGGUCACGUGUGGCCAGACGAGAGUACCGUACGAAUAAGCAUCGGCUAACUCCGUGCCAGCAGCCGCGGUAAUACGGGGGAUGCAAGCGUUAUCCGGAUUUAUUGGGUUUAAAGGGUGCGUAGGCUGUGAGGUAAGUCAGCGGUGAAAUGCCCCCGCUCAACGGGGUGAAGUGCCAUUGAUACUGCCUGGCUUGAGUGCGGAUGACGUGGGAGGAAUGUGUGGUGUAGCGGUGAAAUGCAUAGAUAUCACACAGAACACCGAUUGCGAAGGCAUCUCACGAAUCCGCGAUUGACGCUGAUGCACGAAAGCGUGGGUAUCAAACAGGAUUAGAUACCCGUGUAGUC